rnacentral:rRNA from 1 species
AUUGAACGCUGGCGGCAGGCCUAACACAUGCAAGUCGAGCGGAGCGGCGGACGGGUGCGUAAUACCUAGGAAUCUGCCUGGUAGUGUGGGGUAACGUUCGGCAACGGACGCUAAUACCUACUACUAUCCGUUGAGCCUAGGUCGGAUUAGCUAGGUGGUGAGUUAAUGGCUCACCAAGGCUACGAUCCGUAACUGGUCUGCGAGGAUGAUCAGUCAAACGGGAACUGAGACACGGUCCAGACUCCUACGGGAGGCAGCAGUGGGGAAUAUUGGACAAGGGGCGAAAGCCUGAGGCAGCCAUGCCGCGUGUGUGAAGAAGGGCUUCGGAUUGUAAAGCACUUUAAGUGGGGAGGCGUUACCGACAGAAUAAGCACCGGCUAACUCUGUGCCAGCAGCCGCGGUAAUAC